UACGAAGGGGGCUAGCGUUGUUCGGAAUUACUGGGCGUAAAGCGCGCGCAGGCGGCUAUUCAAGUCAGUGGUGAAAGCCCGGAGCUCAACCCCGGAACUGCCAUUGAAACUGUUUAGCUUGAGGAUGAGAGAGGUGAGUGGAAUUCCCAGUGUAGAGGUGAAAUUCGUAGAUAUUGGGAAGAACACCAGUGGCGAAGGCGGCUCACUGGCUCAUUACUGACGCUCAGGCGCGAUAGCGUGGGGAUCAAACGGG
rnacentral:rRNA from 1 species